AAGCAACGCGAAGAACCUUACCAGGUCUUGACAUCCUCUGACAAUCCUAGAGAUAGGACGUUCCCCUUCGGGGGACAGAGUGACAGGUGGUGCAUGGUUGUCGUCAGCUCGUGUCGUGAGAUGUUGGGUUAAGUCCCGCAACGAGCGCAACCCUUGAUCUUAGUUGCCAGCAUUCAGUUGGGCACUCUAAGGUGACUGCCGGUGACAAACCGGAGGAAGGUGGGGAUGACGUCAAAUCAUCAUGCCCCUUAUGACCUGGGCUACACACGUGCUACAAUGGAUGGUACAAAGGGCUGCAAAACCGUGAGGUCGAGCGAAUCCCAUAAAACCAUUCUCAGUUCGGAUUGUAGGCUGCAACUCGCCUACAUGAAGCUGGAAUCGCUAGUAAUCGCGGAUCAGCAUGCCGCGGUGAAUACGUUCCCGGGUCUUGUACACACCGCCCGUCACACCACGAGAGUUUGUAACACCCGAAGUCGGUGGGGUAACCGUAAGGAGCCAGCCGCCUAAGGUGGGA
rnacentral:rRNA from 1 species